GUGGGGAAUAUUGGGCAAUGGGCGCAAGCCUGACCCAGCAACGCCGCGUGAAGGAAGAAGGCUUUCGGGUUGUAAACUUCUUUUAUCAGGGACGAAGAAAGUGACGGUACCUGAUGAAUAAGCCACGGCUAACUACGUGCCAGCAGCCGCGGUAAUACGUAGGUGGCGAGCGUUGUCCGGAUUUACUGGGUGUAAAGGGCGCGUAGGCGGGAAGGCAAGUCAGGUGUGAAAUCUCUGGGCUCAACCCAGAAACUGCACUUGAAACUGUUUUUCUUGAGUGUCGGAGAGGUAGAUGGAAUUCCUAGUGUAGCGGUGAAAUGCGUAGAUAUUAGGAGGAACACCAGUGGCGAAGGCGAUCUACUGGACGAUAACUGACGCUGAGGCGCGAAAGCGUGGGGAGCAAACAGG
rnacentral:rRNA from 1 species